GGUUGUGGCUCAGUGGCAGAGAGCUUGCCUAGCACACAUGAGGCACUGGGUUCAAUCCCUGGCACCA
rnacentral:tRNA from 1 species